rnacentral:rRNA from 1 species
GAUGAACGCUGGCGGCGUGCUUAACACAUGCAAGUCGAACGAGAAUCAACGGAUUGAGGAUUCGUCCAAAUGAAGUUGAGGAAAGUGGCGGACGGGUGAGUAACACGUGAGUAACCUGCCCCAGAGUGGGGGACAACAGUUGGAAACGACUGCUAAUACCGCAUAAGCCCACGGAACCGCAUGGUUCAGAGGGAAAAGGAGCAAUUCGCUCUGGGAUGGACUCGCGUCCGAUUAGCUGGAUGGUGAGGUAACGGCCCACCAUGGCGACGAUCGGUAGCCGGACUGAGAGGUUGAUCGGCCACAUUGGGACUGAGACACGGCCCAG